UAACUGUCACUCGCUUUCAUUUUGCUUUUGUAUUGUUUUGCGGCUUUUUAUUUGUAAUUUGUCUAUUUGUCUAAAAGCGAAAGUGUUUCUUUCUAUUUCUCGUGAUUCAUUUAAUUUGUAAGAUCUCAUGGAGAGUUGCUGUGGAGCCAAUGUGUGCUGCGUGUUGUUUAGAUACAUAUAAGCAUAACAUGUAUCUGUGUUUCUUCUUCCUCCAUGCAUUCUCUGCACAGAGGAUUUUUGGUCUAUCAUAUUAUGUUUUCAUCUCAUUGGUUUAGAUUUUUGGAUUUAUGGAUUUACUGCCCAAAAAUAUUUUGUACUCAAAUGGAAUGCCUACUGGAGUAGUCCAAACUAGGCGUUUUCUUUAGUGCAUGCUGUGAUAAACAAUAAUUGCCAUAACUUAUAUAUUUCUUUAUAUUUUAUUGUAACCUAAGGUCAAUAAAGAUGACAUUGUGUGUCAAUCAUGCUGGAAUCGUGCUAAGAUUGUAUCCGUUAAUGGAAGUAGGCCAGACGAGUCACCUUUGGGACAUCGAAGAGUAUGCACACUCUGUGGUCGUUCUCUUCUGCGACGGAUUAGAUGCCAUCAACUUAAGACAGGAUCAGACCAAGAUUGCCAAAUAAUUGAAGUUGUGAAGGAAUGGAUAUUACCACGUUUAGUGGGUGUUUUUUGCAUUCUCUGUCACUCCUGUUGGCUUAGAGCAACAAAAGCAAUCCGUCACCUUCAUUUGGGCCUCUCUAAAUCUGCUGCAUCUCCAAAUGCAAUCAGUGAACCAUAUUCCCAUGAAUCUGUCAUCUCUGCCACUCCUGAAGAUCAAAGGACAUCAGAGCAAGAUUCUCAACUGUUACAAGAAUCUCGACCAGCACCAUUGCAAGAAUCUAAACCAGCAAACUUGCAUGAGUAUCAACCGGUACUAUUGCAAGAUUUUCAACCUACACCAAAGCAAGAAUCUAAUCUGGCAACACUGCAUAAUUGUCAAACGACACCAAAGCAAGAACAAACUGCAACAACUGUACCAAAUGCUCGUGCUAAUACAAUAGAUUUACCAGAUUACUUUCGACCAAUCGAAACAGAAAGACGAUGUUUUGUUGACAGUUGUAAACGAAGUCAGAGAAUCAGGCUGACUCUUUUAAUGCGAAAGCAACUACUGAGAAGGUACAACUAUUAUGUGCCUCCUAAUAACAGACUAUGUGAUUUUCAUAUGAAGUGCACGUCAUGGGAUUUUCUCAGCAAAAUCACGGUUAAAAACACCAUCAAUAGUUUUACUGCAAAGCAAAUUCAAGAUAUGAUGUGGUUGAACAUCUCUGAUGUUAAUUUUGAUGAUGAAAGUAUGAAAGACCGUAUUUCUAACGGUGUCAUGUUUCAAUUUGUCAGUGUUACAAAUGUCGGCAAAGACAAAGACUUACAUUAAGGUCUUGAAUAAUAUUUUUAUUGGGUUUUCAUUUUUCCUACAUACCUACACAGUGGUGAUGAAUUUCUGAAUUGGUUAGAAUUUUGCGGUUGAAUUGGUUAUAAUUGGGCGGUUAGAUCUAUAAACAUGUGAGUUAACAAAAAUCUGCUAAUUCCAAGUGAAUUGCGCGAAUGGUGAAAGACAACAUACUGGAAUGGGCGUAGCCAGGAUUCUAUCUAAGAGGGGGCAGCUAUACUUAAAUUGAGUAUUUCACAUUUCUAAUUCAUACUGACCAAACCAGUUUUUUACGGCCGAAACUGUAACCGAUUUUCAGCUUCAGCCUCAGUUUCGGUUUCGGCCGAUUUUCAGCAGAAACGAUUCUUUCUUUUAGCGCAUUGUCAUGAAGCUCAAGUAACCGCUCUGCUGGGCAG